rnacentral:rRNA from 1 species
GUGGAAGCGUCUGGAAAGGCGUGCGAUACAGGGUGACAGCCCCGUACACAAAAAUGCACAUGCUGUGAGCUCGAUGAGUAGGGCGGGACACGUGGUAUCCUGUCUGAAUAUGGGGGGACCAUCCUCCAAGGCUAAAUACUCCUGACUGACCGAUAGUGAACCAGUACUGUGAGGGAAAGGCGAAAAGAACCCCGGCGAGGGGAGUGAAAAAGAACCUGAAACCGUGUACGUACAAGCAGUGGGAGCACAGAGCAAUCUGUGUGACUGCGUACCUUUUG